UUAUGCCCCAAGGGGCAGGCCGUUCCUUUGUAGUAUAGAUGAAAGGUGGAGAAUGUCUCAUUCUGGGGUGUCCAGCCAUCAGUUAGAUACCACUCUAGAUCAAGCAAUGAUUCAAACAUUAUCUCAAAACCUAUAGGUCAAGGGAUAGUCCCACGACGGCAUAUUCUAUGGAGCAUAAGCCUCCCAAAAUGUGAUCAAGGUUUGCAAAAGUCUUCCUCCGACUGAACUGAGAUUGGUUGUCGAUUGCAAAGAUAUAAAACAGUUUGAUUUUGAAAUUCAUUCAUCGAGCAAUGAGGAAAGUCGUCCAUAGUGUCGAGUGCAAGUGUUGUUUCUCAAUAAAUAA
rnacentral:rRNA from 1 species